GCAAUGGCCACCUUACUAUAAAUAUUUCGGUAAUUACUUACAGUGUUUAAAAUUUGCAUGUACUAUUUACUGUAUCAUUUGAUACAGGAUGUCUUUUCAUAUUGGACUGUGGAGACUUCAAAUAUAUAAAAUUUUUUUUUUACUUUGAAACAUUAUGGUUAACGUUGGAUGUUGAAUAGUUAGAAAAGGUGCAUCGUUUUGAGAUGGACAGUUAUGCAGAGGUGUUAAACCUUAUAAUUUAAGUUAACUUUAUUAAAAUUUUAUUCCCUUAGGGGAAGUUUUUGUACUUAUAAGUAGGUAGCUAAAUAAGUAUGCACCUCAUGAUAAGUGUAAUGGGGGAACAACGUCGGUCAGCGGAGCAUUUUUUUUUUAAUAUUAUUUUCUGGCGGAGAUUUAAAUUUAAAAUAAAAUUAAUAUUAUGUUAUUACUAAUAGGUGGUGCAGUGUGUGUAUAGUCAGGCACAUUUAUUGCUGAGGCGUUUCUUAACUUUUUUUAUUCAUAAAAUAUAAAGUUGAAUCUUAUCUUGGAGUUCAAAGGCCAAAUAAACUGAGAGUUAUUUGGUACUUAUUUCUUUUGCUUUUUCCCUUUUUCUCGACUUAAAUCGAGAUUAUUUUUUUACCUUUAGCGACGUUUACGAAGUAGUCGGUUACUUGCUUACCAGUUUAUCGGUGAUUGUGUUGUGUGUUUGUCUCGAUGGAGGCAGGCGUUUUUCCUUUUAUGUGUUGUGAGUGGGAGUUCUUACGUUGUGUCCAGAUGGUACGGUUACGUCUGUACACAAACGUAUUACCUUUGAUGUUUGGUGGUGAGUGAACGAUUUAAAAGUUCUCUUCACGUAGUUUUCUGGGUGCUGGCGUUUUAAACCAGCAUUCCAGCUUCACUGGCUGGUCGGAUUCUUGCGGAUUUAAACGGAGAAUUCUUAAUAGCAGUGUUGUACCCUUGUUGACGCUUUGCGGUAUGGCUUAAAUCAUAUGCGUGAACGUUGACGUUCUUUUGUGUUGUCGGACCGACAGACUUGCGUCGCCUGAGACGUGGUUUGUACAGUCAACCUUUGUAUGUCUUAUGUUGUGUCGAAACGUUCCGUCCUGUGUCGUAGAUAGACGCAGCCGGUAGAUACGCUUCGUUGUCCUGGUGUUAUUGUCUGAUUUUCGUAUUCUUAGCUGUCACCGAUAUUAGUUAGGGAAAUUUCAUUUAGCUAUAAGCCGUCUUCCGUUAUAUCGCUUGGACGUACAGCCCGCUGUCUGGUACAGCUCGCUGUGCCGCCAAGAAAUAUAGACGAUGCGACGUUUUGUAGUAAUUUACUUAAAAAAAAAGGUAUUCUUAUCUGGUUUAGUGCGUGGGUUCGAUUUUGAUGGUUUUUUUUUUAUUAUCGAUUUUAGAUUUCGAGUUGUAGCUGUUAUAUUACCGAUAUUUCCUGUAGUUGGAGCUGGAGACCAGCUCAAAAUUUUGCCUACGUCAAAAUUUUCUCUGGGGAAGGGAGUAUUGUAACAAUAAAAUUUCAUGCUCCUUAAUAAAGUAAUAAAUUUAGGAAUGCAAGGCGUAGGUUACGCCUUCUACCGCCCUCUGUCGGAAAUCGGCAGGAAGUCAUCGACCGUGAGCUGUCUGAUCCUGGAUCGGCCUUCCUCGCCAUCUAGCGUGGGAUAGCUGCACUCUUGUAUUCCUCUAUGGACUUACGUGGAUCAUAGUUGCCAUGUUGAAAAAUAGAAGUAAAUCGUCAUCGAGCGUUUGCCUUCCUUCCUUUUAUUCGUAACCAGACUUAAUUAUGGGUUUUUUAAGCUCCGCGUUAAUCGCGAAGAGUUUAGUAUUAUAUUUUAUUGUUGACUUAAUUUCCAUUGAACGUCCGGAGCCGGCUGUUUGCGGUGUGAGCCGAUUUAGGCUUGGCAACACUAGUCCCGUCCAAAAUGGCGAAUGAGAUGGGAUUUCUUUUUGCCGGAGAGAGAGUUGAAGGGAUAUCGUUGGCCCAGGCCAAAAUCGGGCGCAAUCGCCCGUUUGAGUGAGUUUCAAUAGUGAUUCGGUUGUGUAUUUCUUUUUAGUUGGUUAGUUUCUAACGAAGCGUUGCAUAUUUUCCAGCCCCGGAAUCGGACGUGAAUAAAACCAUGUUCUGAUGGUGAUAGGCGACGCCCAGCGUGCCCGGAUGUCGAAAUAGGUGCAAUUUUGCCCUCUGCUGGCCCUUUCUCCAUCAACGGGUUCACGCCGCGUCGCCUAAACCUCGCGCCGGCCGCGAGAGCUUCCCCUGGUAUCCCGGUAACUUGUGGGCAGCAGAUUGCUGCUGUUCUACCUACUCCCGACGUUUCACCCCAAGGCUGCUGACGUGGCAGUUGUGGUGUUUCGAGGUCAGAUCUUUCCACGUUUACUUAUUGACUGAAUGAACCGGCCUUUCGGUUCUGGCGCCCUUCCGUGUAACUACCUUAAUAUAUAUUGACCGCUGUAUCCGUUUCUACCAGUAAUGAUAAUUUAGAGCUCGCUGACCCACGUUUGUUCCCUUAAAAUAUAAACUCAACAUUAUUGUUCUCGUGAGCUAGCCCUCGGCAAACAAUUGUUACCGUGUAUCUAGGAUAACAAAUUAGCAUAAACAAUUUAGAUUUUUUUCCUGAAUUCAAUAAAUACCUGGUUCCUCUUCAA